CACCUGUGGCGCCGGAGUUCUUCCGGCGUCGCAGCAACUAAGCGGGCCAAGCUCACAAAGCCAUGGCCCAGAUUUGAAAAAUAUGACCAGCAGGGGCAUCCGGGCUGGUACCCGGACUAUCUGCGGGAUCUGUAGUGGCCAUACCGAUGUCGCUGCCUGAGGACUUCGGAGCCUUCAAGGUUUCGCCAGGUGGUUGUCCCCUUACCGAGGGUGACCUAGCA
rnacentral:ncRNA from 1 species